rnacentral:rRNA from 1 species
UACGAAGGGGGCUAGCGUUGCUCGGAAUCACUGGGCGUAAAGCGCACGUAGGCGGCUUCUAAGUCAGGGGUGAAAUCCUGGAGCUCGAACUCCAGAACUGCCUUUGAUACUGGAGUAGCUUGAGUCCGGAAGAGGUGAGUGGAACUGCGAGUGUAGAGGUGAAAUUCGUAGAUAUUCGCAAGAACACCAGUGGCGAAGGCGGCUUACUGGUCCGGUUCUGGACGCUGAGGCGCGAAAGCGUGGGGAGCAAACAGGG